CUGCCGGGCCCCCCCUCUCUUUCUCUCUCUUUAUUCUCUCUCUCCCUCUGUCUCUUUUUUCUCUUCUUUCCUUGUUAAUCAGACACCACCGCAAUAAAGAUCUCUUGGUCUCUCUAAGUGUCGUGGUCACUUUCCUUUCAUCCAGUACUGUAACCCAGGAAGACGGUGAAAACCCACUUUUGGGUCCUUCUUCCUUCAGACGUGCCAGUCACCAGAUGACCUGAACCCAUUUUCUUGACCUCCAGAACUACAUCCACCACCGACCUUCGAUUGGUGAGUUUCCCCUUUCUGGAGUCCUAAACCCAAUGGUGGUGUCAGGAGGAUUUGACCUCUUCGCCCACCUGUGGGGAGGAAAAGACCCCAUCAAAGCCUUCAAGUCCAUGAUGGUCCCCAUGGACUCCCUCCUUGGGCAGAUUUGACUCUUGGGUUCAAAAUUCCUUCCCUUCCUCUUCCCUGGCAUAGACCUCAUACAUCAUCUUCAAAGGACUGUUAACUUUCAAGAACACAUAAAGAGAGGAAAAUCACAUCCCACCUAGACCUUCACGAUCUCGGUGUCCCUCAUAAAGUCUUCUCACCUUUAAGACUCAGCUGCUAGGGAUAUGCUUACCCUCCCCUUCCAUUCUCCUUCUCCGGCCCUGGGAGUCUCCAGCCUCUCCAGGAGGAGUCCCAAAAAGCCUUGGCCAAGGUCUCCCAUGGCCCUGGUCCUGUCCAGUAUGGAAGCCUCAACUAUCAGGAUUUGGUGAUGACUAAUCUCUGCAGCUCGAACCUGCCACUAGGCAGUGCCUGAUUUUUGGCUCUAGCGGGGAUGCUCCUUUUGACAAUAAAUCAGCUCCCUCCUAUCCCUAUAUAAUGUUUGCAAGAUGGCAAUACAUCCUCUAUGCCUGCUGACUCUCCCUUACAAUGUCUCUUAGACAACCUCAAGACAUUCUCCUUGACACCGGACAUCAAACCCCACAAAUUGAUUAAAUAUAGCACCUAGGAUUGGCCUAAUUAUCCCCUAGACAACCAAAGCAAAUGACCUCCUUUUGGAUCUCUGGAUCCCUCCAUUCUAAGGGGUCUCUACAACUACUCCGAGCAUUCGAAAAAAUGGAUAAACAUCCCCUAUAUCCAAGCUUUCUUCUUGCUCUGAUCCAAUCCUGCUCUCUGCACCUCUUGAAAACAUCUACACAUUCUUCUAGCUUGCAAACCAACCCCCCCAACCACUGACCCCCCAACCUUCUCUUCUUCUGGACUCAUCCACUACUUUGGACCCUGCUGAUGAACCUCCACUCUAUUGCCUGGCUCAAAUAGGUCCUCACCCUUAACCUUCUGCCCCAGCCCCUCCACCAUCACCCCUGCCUCAAUAACAUGCUUUCUCCCUUCCAAUUACUAGAUCAAAAACACCACCACCCUUCCCCAAACUGUUGUCCCCUUGUGUGAGGUAACAGGUACUAAAGGAAUCCCCCAUCCACUCACUCCUCUCUUCUCCUGUCUGUGACAACACCUGGUCCCACCAGGCCCCCUUACUGGCUAACCCAAAGCUCAAAUGAGCUGAGGAGGGCCCUCAGACCCCUAUCUUAUAUCUGGUGAAAAUAGCCUUUAAAGUUGCUUUGUUAUCACUGAAAACAAGGUUACUAAGAAUUUAAAGUCCCUUACAGGCUUUUUGGGAUGUUCGCUCCUGUACUCCCCACUGGUCUAUCUAUUCUACUGCUCAAGUUUUCCUUGCUAGGGAAAGUCCCAAACCCCUUUCCCAUUAUUUUUUUACAUCUCCUUCCUCAUUCUAAAGUCUACCUGAGCUGCUCUCAGCCCCACUUUCCUGUCUCCCCCCACCCCCAGGCCCACAGAAAAGUCUUAACUGACCUUCUCCAGAAAUCUUCACCAAGGCUGAUUUUAGGACUAUCAGCAAAAGAGUCUCUACAACAAAAUUUAAUGUAGAUAAGCUUCCUCUUUUUGUGUUGCUUGGUUUUACUUGGCCACUUGCCUGGAAAAAUCAGAACUCCAGAUGCUAGACACCUCCUCCCUAGUUUUUCACAAAAAUAUGUAAACAAGCCCUCUGGCCUUGAGCUGAGGAUUCAUAGAGGUGUCUCCAUUUCUAAGAUAAGAGAAGUUACCUGUUGGGCUCCAUGGUAACUGCUGGCAGGGGGAGGAAAGAAAGAGAAAAAAAAGCUCUCCCCUUCUCAGGUGUCCUUGAAGGGUUAAAUUGCCCAGAACAGUGAAAAAAAAAACUGCUUUUAUGUGAUCUUCUGCAGACUGUGAACUUCUGAGUCCCUCCUCUUACAUGCUGGGUAUAAAUUUCCAAAACUACCUGAACUUGGGGUUCAGGAGAUUGAUUGAUUGAUUGCAGCAGAAGCUGUGACCCUGAGCCUGGCUGCAGCCAGUUAAAAUUGUUUCCCCAUCUUCAAUGCUAUCUGUGGUGCCUUGCCUUGUCCAUCCCUACAACAUUAUAAUUCUAUAUACUUAAACCUGUUUAUGUUUUCAUGAAAUGGUAAACAGAUGUGAUUAACUGUGUACUGUAAAUAACAAAAUAUUUCUUAUUAAAAUUGAAUAAUUUGCCUAAAUUCAGAAAUUUACACGGAUUAUGUCAAAAUGUGAAUAAAGAAGGAGUUACCAGAUCAAAAAGAGAAAUCAGAAGGUUCUAGGUAUGGAUUUAAUAGAAGGGAAAAAAAGUGUUUCUGGAAUAAGAGAGUCUGUGUGAUUAAGUAAAUAAGAGGGUUUUAGUAGGUGAUAAAGAAGGUCUGUGUAAAUUGGUUAUAUACGGAAGAUUUUGUGUAAAUAAUCUUGAAGGAAUUAAGGAUUAUACAACUGUGGCUAAAAAACAACUGUUAUUUUGUAAUAUUGUAAUAUGUUAUUUCUUUAAGAGCUAAACUUGAUUAAUAUAAAAACAUCGAUGUAAUUGUGGUGCUAUUGCUCUUCUUUGUAUAUUAAAUGCGUUCAUAUUUUCCAGGUAUAUAAGUCUUUAAGGUAGAAGCUUCAAAAGAGAAUUAUAUCAAGCUGGUAUUCUCCAAAAGGUUGCAUGGUAAUUUUAGGCUUAUAAGAAUAACAUAUUGGAGAUUUGUUUAUAUCAUUUAAUGUUCUAUAACUGGACCUUUUAUCAAUAAGAUUAUAUAAGUUCUAUACACUGGGGUACAAUUUAAAUAUAAUAUUAUAUUGUGUUAGCUAAUAUUCAUGUUACCUCGAGCAGCAGUAUAUGUAAACUUCAUAAAAUGAUAUUUAAAAAACAAAGAUCAGCUUCAAUACUAGAACACUUUACCUCAGAUUUAAAAAGAGCCCCACCUUACCUGAGAUAAGGCUUUGCCUCCCAUCUUACUACAUGUCAGAAUGACUCCAAGGUAGGUCAGACUUUAGUUAAAGCCCAGUACUCUUAAUUUAAGAUGGGUGAGACUGACUUGCUAGAUGCUUAAGAUCAAGACUUAAAAUUAAAAUUAAAUUAAAAGGGCCAAUAAAACCAAUAUUUGGCUCUUACCCUCUGAAUCUGGCUGCAAUCAGAUAAACAAGGAACUUCUCUAAAGAGCUUUGCAACUCUGGGCCACAUAAUCUCCCAAUCAGGGAGAGUAAUGAGAACACCGGAGAAUAAAAAGCCAAUCAGUGCACUUGCUGUGAAUAGGAAGGUCAUUGGAGAAAGGAGACAUCCCUGAUGCUUUUAAGGGAAGCCACAUGGUCAAGUAAGUCCUGGACCCAUCCUAGUGCAAAUGGCACUAGCAGAACUAAGAAGCUGCUCUCAAGUCCCAGAUGAGUGACCCUUAUGAGAACUCAGCCUACUCUUAACAAUAGAUAGAAACAAAGUCCAUUUUGACCAUCUUGAUCUUAAACACCUACCCAAAAUAGUUAAACCAAAACACAGUCUUUUGUGGGGGUAAUGAAGGACAAGAAAAGCUAGAAAAGAGGAGACAGCAACUAGGCCAACAGUCUCCAUGGGGAAUGUUCACUCAUGUAUGACCUUGGCUCCUCCCCCUUGCAGGACCCCUAUUAGUUCUCUUUAUGUUUCUCCUAAUAGGACCAUGUUUGUUAAAUUGUCUACAGAAGUUCCUGCAAGAUCAGAUACACAAAUUCACCAACCAGUCAGUCAUUCAAUUACUCCUUCAAGACUACCAAUCCCUGAUACCCAAGAUGAAGACCUAUGACUCAUGACCAACUCCUCCAGCUCCAGAGACUCUGCCCCCAUUUAAAACUCUCCCUGACCCCUUUUCCAAUUUUUACAACCCCUCUUUCACUUCCCAGGAAUGAGAACUACUCUCUAGCAGGUCCUCUCCACAUGUUCUGUCUGCUGUACUGUAUCCCCACAAGGAAGCAUGAAACCUAAACUUCUCACGCAUCAGAUGAGGAGCUACCAGCCAGGUGAAGACUGACAGAUCGACUUCACUCACAUGCCUAGGCACAAAAACUUCUCUACCUACUUACUUUCAUUGAUACUUUUUCAGGUUGUAUAGAAGCCUUCCCUACCUCCAGGGAAAGUGCUGACACUGUCGCCUCCAUCCUCAUUGAGCAGAUCAUUCCCAGGUUUGGACUUUCCACCUCCAUCCAGUCAGAUGAUGGUCAAGCCUUCACUUCUCAGGUUGUUCAAUUAUUCUCCAAAGGCCUCAACAUCACUUGGAGGCUCCACAUCCCCUACGGACUCCAAUCCUCGGGUAAGGUUGAGAGAGCUAACAGCAUUCUCAAGGAUCACCUCACUAAACUUGCUCUUAAACUCAGGCUCUCCUGGCCCAAUCUGCUGACAUUGACCCUCACUGGAAUUUGGGCAGCCCCUAGAGCUCACUCAGGCCCCUUUGAGCAACUCUAUGGGUGCACUUUCUUAACCAACCAAAGCUUUCCAAUCACUCCUCCUCCCCUUUUAUCCUAUUUGCCCUAUCACACUUCUACACAAACUCCUAGGGGAACAUGCAAUCUGGUGCCUUCCUGCGCCACUCAUUGUCUAAAUUCCAGUGCAACCACAAACUGAAUUGGAUCCUCUUCAACUGGGUGACUCAGUCUUACUUCAAGAACUGCAACCUCAAUUGUUAGAACCUCGCUGGACAGGACCCCAUACAGUCAUACUUACUACCCCAAUGGCAGCCAAGCUUCUGGGUCACUAUCCCUGGUACCAUGUCUCCCACCUUAAAAAGGCACUUGUUCCAAAUGUCCAGUUCUGGACUUCCACCACACCCACCAAUCACAAAAUUUCUUGCCAAUCCUCUUCUUCUUAUACUAAUCAUUAAUCUCGCUCAAGCGAGAUGUAUGUAUGUAUGUAUGUAUGUAGAUGGCAUUUCUACAUCCAAGCAAUAUAGCACCAGGAUGGUAUCACCCACUCUCAGUUUAUGGGUCAAAGCGAUUGCCCUUCCACUGGCUGCAAUCAGGUCAUCACCUUAACAUUACUGGGUUCAACCAAACCACCUCUGAUAUUUCCUAGAGUCCUUACCACAGGACCAAUGGCUGAUACCAAGGAUCUCCACUGCUCAAACUAUGGCUUCAAGGAACCUUUAUGGACUUUGCCCUUUCCUGGAUAACUGUCCAUAGCCAGUGUGUGUUAUUUCUAGCUGCUCUGGUAUUCCCAAGCCUUUCCCCGAACAUUCCCCCUCUCUCUCCCAGGUAGGCCCCACACCGCCCCCUCUCAGCAGGAAGUAGCCAGUUUGAAUUACACCAUCCCCAAGCCACUUAGAAAAACAAAAAGGGAGAAAUGUUAGUUGCAGAGCAGGCAGAACAAAUGUUAGCUGCAAUGUGGGCUGAACACUGGACCCUCACACGUCUGGAUUCUUAUGACUUGUUUGCCUCAGAAUGAACACUCAAGCCCACUCAAGGCUGAACAUUCAACCCCCACCAGUCUGGUGCAAAGGAAGCACACAUCUGACCCCUGACCUGUCUGCCUGAAGGCAGAAGAUGACACCCUUAGCAACUACUGUAUGAUCCAAUCACUGUACGCCAACAAGGCAGCUUGCAGACCCAGAGACCCCAUUAGAUUUUGGCUAUAAAACUCUCUCCUGCCAGGCCUCCCUCUCUUGCUCUCUCUUUCUUCUCUCUUCCUCUUUUUUUCUCUUCCUUCCUUGUUAAUCAGACACCACCACAAUAAAGAUCUCUUUGUUGCUCCAAGUGUUGUGGUCACUUUCCUUUUAGAACUCAGAUAGAUCUGGUUCUGAGUCCACACCACAGCAAUGAUAUUUGACACACCACUUCUUCAGGUCUCUGUUUACUCAUUUAUUAGAUGGGUAUAAUAAUUUCUCUCCAUACAUAAGAUAAUCUUAAAUUUAAGAAUUGAAUAACCUGUAAAGGCAAUUAUUUUUUGGCUAUGUUAUUUCUGAAGAUAGGAUAGAGGAAUAUGUCUUAACUGGCAUAUUUAGGAAAGUUAUUAUCAAAAUGUUUCUUAGAAGGUUCAAUACUUCCUUGGAACCUGUGACACCAUCACAAUUUACAUUCCUGGAGUGAUCUCCCCAGCCAUCGAGGAGGAAGGGGGCUGUCUUCUGGUGUUCACAUUCACCUAUCAUAUGACAACUUGGGGCAAGGCACUCAACUUUUUAGCUUAGUGUUUCUUAUAUGUAGGAUGGGAGUGAGUAAUUCCUGCAGCUGCUGUGGAUGAACUGACCAGUCCAAAAUGAGAAAAUGUAAAUAGUGACUCAAGGUUACCAAAACAGGACUGUUAUGUCUAGGCUUAGGGGAGGGAACUGGAGAAUCCAGCAGGGGUGUCUUCCAGAAGAAGCUCUGCCUAAGUCCCUCCAGGGAGGGCAGUGGAGCUGUACA
rnacentral:lncRNA from 1 species